UUCCAGAGUGGCUCUGUAGCUCCCCGACAGAGACAGGAGGAUGUCAGCAAGACUUAGAGGGGGCUUUCUGAUCUCUGAGCUGUUGCUCAUCACAAAACCCCUUCCUGGGGUGUCUUGGGGGAAGUUGGAAAGUGUACAAUAGAUUUUUUUUUAACUAUUGUCACCCUAUUGAUCUACUGAACAUGAGGUCUUGUUUCUUUUAUCUAACUGUAUAUUUGUACCCAUCAAUCAACCCCUCUUUAUCCUUUGGUGUCACUUCACUGAAGACUGAGCCGAGAGGGCACUCGAGACAGCUUGCUGGCUGGGUGGGGAGGAUUUCAGGCUUGAAUCUGUUUUCCUUUCAUUCAUCUGCCUCUUACGGUUCCAGUUCUUAGUUGGUGGGGGGGGGCAGUCAUUUAUGAAAUGAAAUCAUAAACUGGGACUGUUUUGAGGAUGAAGAGGGUGGGCACAGACCAUGUCAAUGUCACCCAUGCAGCUUUAAGGGAACGUGCUGGCUAGUAAGUGAUAGCACAUGAUACAAGGACAGCCUUGGGCUGGUCCAGUGCAUCCCUGAUGCCUCGUGGGGUGCAGGCGCCAUGCGGGGUGCAGUCCUGCAGGUGUCACAGUCUGACCUGGGCACCGCAGAGUCUAGCGGGUUGGGAGACAGGACACUGGCAGCAGCCUGUGGAGGGUGUGAUGUGAUGGACAGUGCUGUCCGUGGGAUGGGUGGGCACAGGAAGUAGGCGCGGGGCUCAGGACAGCUCUUGGGGCACUAUCUGGGAAUGUCAAUGAAGAAGGGCGGAAGAUCCUUCAGGCCAGGGAGAGAGUGUAUUAAGAGUGGAGGUGGCAGGGACCCUCCAGGCAGGUGGAGGAUUUUCACCAUGACUAGAGCAGCAAAAGGGAACAGGAGCAGUGGGAGAUAAGGCUGGGCCCAGCUCGGGCCAGGCCAUGGAGACUUGGGGCUUAGCUCUACUUGGGAGGGAAUAGAACUUUCUGCAGGGAGUUGUGCAUUCUAGCAAGACUGCGCUGGUAGCAAUGGCCUGGAUGAUACAAGAUGAGGGAUGCAGAGGCCAUUAAGAAUGGGCUGGGAGAGGAAGGGACAGCCAGAGAGGCAGAUUGGAGGACUCUGGUGCUGAGUGCGGAGCAUGAAGGUGGGAAGAGGGGUGUCCAGGCCUCCAUGGAGCUGGUGUCCCCUGUAGUACAUCAGAAGUAUCUUAGACAUGUGCUGCUUUUCUGACCAUCUUAUUUUUGAAUUGCAAAUAUGAAAAUAAAUAAGCUUUAAAAAAAGCCCUAAAGUUGAUUGUACUUGUUUUUGAAGAGAAACGUUGGAAAUUAACUCACAGUUUCUGAGGUCUCCAAGUUGCCUUCCAAUUCCUGUUGAAAACUUGGACAGGGGACUUGUAACAUCCUUGUCGACUGUCCUUAUUAACUCCACAUUUUAUUUCAAUUGUGCUUAGCACCUGCCUCCAAUUACUCGGCUCUGGCAGAGAGCAGAGCUCUGAUUAAACGCUGGGCUCUGUGUUAGUACAGCAUUACCCAGGCACAGGCCAUCAUCCAUCUUCAUCAAGCCUGCGGCCUCAGUGGCCUGACAGCCAUUCCAGGAAGGACCAAGGAUGGUUAGCACCCAGAGGCUGCAUCACCCAAGAUAGGCUCUGUGGUGCCCAGAGAAUGAUUUGUAUUCAUUACUGUUCUCUCCAAUCAUUGUCCAGGCUUUUCAUGGGCUGCUGGUGAGCUGGCACAGACAGCCUGGCCAGGAUGUAAAAGGGAGGGCAUGGGGCAUGGGGAGGUUAAUGACAGGGAGGAUGCAGAUGACAAUGACUACCAGAUAAGGUGGGGGCAUCGGGGUUGCCACAGCUGUGGACGAGCCCCGUCACUGCCGGAGCACCUGCCCUGGUGGGGCAGCACCCACCACAGGACUGAUCCUCCCUGUGUGUGCCGCACAAUGAGGUCAUGAGGCCAGCAUUCUCAGGUUCUUUUUCCAUUUUAUAGAUGAGGAAAUGGGGAUUGCCUCAUGACCGCUCACCCAGAACAAGGAAUCUGUGUUCCCAAAGCCCACCACAGAGCAUGUCUGCUCCCCUCCAGCCCCCAUCCAAUGCUUGAGAAAAUGACUUUCCCACCCUCACUGCUCCCGGCCAGGAGAUGCUCCUGCCCAGUGGGGCCAGGUGACUGUGGUCAGGAGCGGUCACCUCCACCACUUCCCUGGCACAUAGGCAACUUGAUUCAAGCAGGGCUGAUGACUGGAGGUGUUAAAUGCAGGUAAGUGUGUGUGUAAAGCCGAAUGUUUAGCCCUGGAACACAGGAGGAAAUAAGUGGGGAGCCCCCUGAUUCCUGGGGUCGGCGAGAGCUGGGUUGGAGGGGCAGCUCAGCUUCAGUGUUCUGCUGUCUUGAUCUUGGGCAAGUCUCUCAUGGGUGAAAGACUGCCUCAGGGAGGCACACCCCUGAGAUGGAGCUGCAGGGUCACCUUU
rnacentral:lncRNA from 1 species